rnacentral:rRNA from 1 species
CCCUUAGAUGUUCUGGGCAGCACGCGCGCUACAAUGGUCUUCGCAAACGGAUGCAUUCUCGAAGGAGAAUGCCAAUCUUGGAAUCUAUGCCUUGGUCGGGACAGUUGCUUGCAAUUUUUCGACUCGAACCAGGAAUUCCUUGUAAUCGUGAUUCAUCACAUCACGAUGAAUACGUCCCUGCCCUUUGUACACACCGCCCGUCGCUCCUACCGAUCGAGAGUUAGGUGAAUUGUUUUGAUCGAUAAGAUUUGACUAUGGUCAACUCUCGUUGUGAAAUUCUGUGAAUCUGACUGUUUAGAGGAAGGAAAAGUCGUAACA